AAUCCGACUCUCUAAGUAAAACAGAGGAGAAAUGUGGUCUUUGCGGACACUUACUGUCUCUGAUUUCUGCCCAGCGCUCUGAAAGUUAAAUCGUAGUAAUUCGAGUGAGCGUGGGUAAACGGCGGGAGUAACAUUCACUCUUGAUCGUUACUCCUGAAAUAAAGUUAGACAGAGUGGCUUGCAUGCACAGCUUUACAGAUU
rnacentral:ncRNA from 1 species